GCGGGGCGGCGGCGGGAGGCGGCGCCGAGCGGGCUGGGUGCCGCCGCGGGAGGUUCUGGAAACGCCGAGAGCGGCGCGUGUCCCGGUGAGCGUCCAGCCCGCCCGGCCGCCAGGUCCGCCGCCGAGCUCGGGCGCAGGCAGAGGUCGACGGGCCGAACCUUCUGCCCCCACGGGCUUGGAGUUGGGGGUCGCGCCCCUCGCCGUGCUGCCCGGGCCGCAACCCCGCGCCCUCCGCCCUGUUUCUACCCCCGUACAUCCUUUUAGAACCUGCGUGGUUUUGCCUCAGCAGCCGCGGCGACUUGUAACUAGUUAACUAAUUCAACAAACGGACCCCUGUGUGUGUCAGAAACUGCAAGGAGUUGCUAGCCCAGUGGGGCAGGCGGACUGGAAGACCAGGGAAGUCCAGGCCCAGGGCAGUGUGAUACUGCCCUCUGUAACCAUGAAACUCCAGGUGUCCAUGUUGCUGGUGGCCUGGUUUGGUGUCCUGAACUGUGUGCAGGCUGAAUUCUUCACUUCUAUUGGGCACAUGACAGACCUGAUUUAUGCAGAGAAGGACCUGGUACAGUCCCUAAAGGAAUACAUCCUGGUGGAGGAAGCCAAGCUCUCCAAGAUUAAGAGGUGUCCGAUGUCCUAUGUCCCCGUUCCCACCCUGAGCCAGUCCUCCUGCCCCCUCCCCCCAGGGACCCAUCCAGGGUGCCUGUAAGAGGAAGCCCUUGAGGGGGCAGUGUGGGGCUGGCCUGGAGGUUACUUCCUGCUGGUCCCCAGAGUGGCCAAGUACCUGGGCUGAGGACUCACUGCUUUUUUCUUUCUAGGUAGAGAUUCCUUAAAUCUCAACAGGGAAAUUUUCCCAGGUCAAGAACCAUGUGAGUAGGUGUAUUAAUUUUCCUUUUUCUCUGGUUCCACAGCUGGGCCAGCAAAAUGGAAGCCCUGACCAGCCAGUCGGCUGCUGACCCUGAGGGCUACCUGGCCCACCCUGUGAAUGCCUAUAAACUGGUGAAGCGGCUGAACACAGACUGGCCUGUGCUGGAGGACCUCGUCCUGCAGGACUCGGCUGCAGGUUUUAUUGCCAACCUGUCAGUGCAGCGACAGUUCUUCCCCACUGAUGAGGAUGAAGCGGGAGCCGCCAAGGCCUUGAUGAGACUUCAGGACACGUACAAACUGGACCCAGACACGAUUUCCAGAGGGGAUCUUCCAGGAACCAAGUACCAGGCAAUGCUGAGUGUGGACGACUGCUUUGGCAUGGGCCGCUCAGCUUACAAUGAAGGGGACUAUUACCACACGGUGCUGUGGAUGGAGCAGGUGCUGAAGCAGCUCGAUGCUGGGGAGGAGGCUACCACAUCCAAGGCCCAGGUGUUGGACUACCUGAGCUACGCAGUCUUCCAGUUGGGCGACUUGCACCGUGCCCUGGAGCUCACCCGCCGCCUGCUCUCCCUUGACCCAGGCCAUGAACGAGCUGGAGGGAAUCUGCGCUACUUUGAACGGUUGUUGGAGGAAGAAAGAGAAAAAAUGUUAUCCAAUCACACAGAGGCUGGGCCCUCCACCCCAGGAGGCAUCUAUGAGAGGCCUGUGGAUUACCUGCCUGAACGGGAUGUCUACGAGAGCCUCUGUCGUGGGGAGGGUGUCAAACUGGUGAGACCCGAGGGUGGGUCGGGGCCCAGGCUGUGGACCUGGAGCGGACAGGCAGACCUGGGGAGGAUAUUCCUCUGUCUGGAGGUGGCUUGCUCGGCGCUUGGUAGCAUCUGCGGAGGCUGAUACGUGGGUGUCCUCUGAGCUGUGGGUCAGGAGAUUGUCUUCACGAGGCCCCAGGCAGUUUCAGUCCUCUAAGUUACUACUGAGCUCUGUUCCGCACCCCUGUACGAGCUCCUGCUCGACUCACUGUUGUGAGGAAAACCAUGGGUGUGGAUGAGCCAUGGGGCUGGUGGAAGUCAUGGUUUCUAGCAAAGACAAGGCAGUUGCUUGAGGCCACGGGGUAUCAUGGGCCUUUGAGAGCCCUGGGGUCCGGGUGCAUCCUCAAGGAGGCUCAGGUGUGAGGCAGCCUCUCAGCCUUUCCUGUGCCCAUGUAUUCUUGGCUCCUACUGGCUCCUCUGUCUGGAAGGGCUUCUUCUCCGCCCCAGCCCUUCUAACCUAUUCACAUCUCUGAGAAAGGGGUCAGGGAUUACACCCAAGACAGGACUUGAAGAUGUGAAGUAUUCUUGGGAGAGAAGAAAUAGUGAAUAAUUUGUGGGGUAUCAUUUCAUGCCAGACUGGGGGGUUUUUGUUUUCUUUUCUGAUGAGGCGGGAGGGAGUGGCUGCUGGACGUGGGGCGUGAGACCUGUGUCUGCAGCCAGCCAACCCGGAACUGAGGGUUAGGACUCAACUCAGUUCAGGGCCUUUGCUCUGUGCUCCCCAGACACCCCGAAGGCAGAAGAGGCUUUUCUGUAGGUACCACCAUGGCAACAGGACGCCACAGCUGCUUAUUGCCCCCUUCAAAGAGGAGGAUGAGUGGGACAGCCCGCACAUCGUCAGGUACUAUGAUGUCAUGUCCGACGAGGAAAUCGAGAGGAUCAAGGAGAUCGCAAAACCCAAACUUGCACGAGCCACUGUUCGUGAUCCCAAGACUGGUGUCCUCACUGUUGCCAGCUACAGGGUCUCCAAAAGCUCCUGGCUAGAGGAGGACGACGACCCUGUGGUGGCUCGGGUGAAUCGUAGGAUGCAGCACAUCACAGGGCUGACAGUAAAGACUGCAGAAUUGUUGCAGGUCGCUAAUUAUGGAAUGGGAGGACAGUACGAGCCGCAUUUUGACUUCUCCAGGGUAAGGCCCAAAUCACAGGUGCUUUCAAGGGCCCUGCUCCAGCUGAUUUGGAGCUGUCUGGAGCACUGCAGCCUCCACAUCAGGCCCCCACUGCCUCACUAGGGUCCAGUCUUGCUGCUGGGCAAGCCCAAGGCUGGAGGCAGGUACAGCCCCUUUGUUUCCCCUGUGAUGGAGGGAGUGGUGGCCCCCUGCCAUUCUUUUCCCUGGCCCCACCCCUGCCAUUCUUUCCCCUGACUCUAAAGCAAAGGCCCUCCCCAGGCUCUGUGAAAGCUGUUUCUGCCCCCUCCCCCGUGCCUGGCCAGGAUUUCCUUUGUAGCCCCGGCUCAUGGUCCAGGCCAAUGUAUGAACCACAUACUUAGUACCUUCCCUUGACCUUUUUGGCCCCAGUCCUGCGGGUGGUGGGUGAAGUCAGUUGCAAACUUGGGUGAAAGUUGUUAUCUGUUGCAGCGACCUUUUGACAGCGGCCUCAAAACGGAGGGGAAUAGGUUAGCGACGUUUCUUAACUAUAUGAGUGACGUGGAAGCUGGUGGUGCCACCGUCUUUCCUGAUCUGGGGGCUGCAAUUUGGCCUAAGAAGGGCACCGCCGUAUUCUGGUACAACCUCUUGCGGAGCGGGGAAGGUGACUACCGAACGAGGCAUGCAGCCUGCCCUGUGCUUGUGGGCUGCAAGUGGGUUUCCAAUAAGUGGUUCCAUGAACGAGGACAGGAGUUCUUGAGGCCAUGUGGAUCAACAGAAGUUGACUGACAUCCUUUUCUGCCCUUCCCCUUCCUGGCCCCAUAGCCCGUAUUGUCUUCAAGUUCAACAUGACAGACCUCCCUGUGUGCUCCAGCCCUUGUCACACGGGUCUUUGGAGGCAUGAAUGUGUUUCUGGAGCAGAGAGUGGACUGGGGAAGGUUCUGAGUGACAUGGGUCCAGUCUCUCCGGUCAGUCUGUGCUAUCUCUGGUCCAAGGGUAGUGUUGGAGUGGCUGCAGCAGAGUCAGGCUGUCUAGCACCCAGUAAGGUGCUUUUGUACCUCAGAUGCUUUAGGUGUGAGAUAUUUCAAUGAACCAAAGUUCUGAUACCUUGUUUACAUGUUUGUUUUUAUGGAAUUUCUAUUAAUGUGGCUUUAACCAAAAAAUAAAUUGUCCCUGCCAGAAGCCUUAA